AGAGUUUGAUCAUGGCUCAGGAUUAACGCUAGCGGUAUGCCUAAUACAUGCAAGUCGAGCGGGAGCAGCAAUGCUCUAGCGGCAAACGGGUGAGUAAUACGUAUCUAAUCUACCCUUUAGAAAGGAACAACAGAUCGAAAGAUUUGCUAAUACCUUAUAGGACAUAGAUUUACAUGAAACUAUGUUUAAAGUUCCGUUCGGAACGCUUUAGGAUGAGGGUGCGGCUUAUCAGAUAGUUGGUGAGGUAAUGGCCCACCAAGUCAAUGACGAGUAGCUAUGCUGAGAGGUAGAAUAGCCACAAGGGGACUGAGACACGGCCCCUACUCCUACGGGAGGCAGCAGUAGGGAAUUUUUCACAAUGGGCGAAAGCCUGAUGGAGCAAUACCGCGUGAAUGAUGAAGGUCUUCGGAUUGUAAAAUUCUUUUAUAAGGGACGAACGAUGUGAACAGGAAAUGGUUCGCAAGUGACUGUACCUUUUGAAUAAGUAACGGCAAACUAUGUGCCAGCAGCCGCGGUAAUACAUAGGUUACAAGCGUUAUCCGGAUUUACUGGGCGUAAAGCGAGCGCAGGCUGAUUUACAAGUCUGGUGUUAAAUGCAUUUGCUUAACAAAUGUAUGCAUUGGAAACUGUAAAUCUAGAGUGUGAUAGGGAGUUCUGGAACUCCAUAUGGAGCGGUGGAAUGUGUAGAUAUAUGGAAGAACACCUGUGGCGAAAGCGAGAACUUAGGUCACAACUGACGCUUAGGCUCGAAAGUGUGGGGAUCAAAUAGGAUUAGAUACCCUAGUAGUCCACACUGUAAACGAUGGUCAUUUGUUGUUGGUGCAUCAGCAUCAGUAACGAAGCUAACGCAUUAAAUGACCCGCCUGGGUAGUACAUUCGCAAGAAUGAAACUCAAACGGAAUUGACGGGGACCCGCACAAGUGGUGGAGCAUGUUGUUUAAUUCGACAGUACACGAAGAACCUUACCAGGGUUUGACAUCCUCGGCAAAGCUAUAGAAAUAUAGUGGAGGUUAACCGAGAGACAGGUGGUGCAUGGUUGUCGUCAGCUCGUGUCGUGAGAUGUUGGGUUAAGUCCCGCAACGAGCGCAACCCUUAUUGAUAGUUACUUUAUCUAUCGAGACUGCCAACGUAAGUUGGAGGAAGGUGGGGAUGACGUCAAAUCAUCAUGCCCUUUAUAUCCUGGGCCACAAACGUGCUACAAUGGUUGGUACAAAGUGUUGCCAAACCGUAAGGUGGAGCUAAUCACAAAAAACCAAUCUCAGUUCGGAUUGAGGGCUGAAAUUCGUCCUCAUGAAGUUGGAAUCACUAGUAAUCACGAAUCAGACAUGUCGUGGUGAAUACGUUCUCGGGUCUUGUACACACCGCCCGUCAAACUAUGAGAGUCGUUAAUACCUAAAAACGUUUUGUUAGCAGCAAUGAUACGAAUGUUUAGGGUAGGAACGGUGAUUGGAGUUAAGUCGUAACAAGGUAGCC
rnacentral:rRNA from 1 species